rnacentral:rRNA from 1 species
CGGAGGAUGACUAGCUACUGAAUCUUUGAUGUGUCAUCAAAGAUAACGUAAAGGAAAAUAAUGAUAUUACUUUACUAUUAGUGUCGUCCAAAGACUCGUGCCAGAAGACUCGGUAAGGCGAGAGACGCAAACGUUAAUCGUCUUGAUCAGGCGUAAAGGGUGUGUAGGCUGCUUUAAGAAUUUAUAUUAACUUUACUGUUAUAUAUACUCAAUGUAAUAUGUAUAUAUUUUAUAAAAUUUCUGUAUUUAUAUAGAAUAUUUAAAAUAUUUCUAAUUAUUAUUGACAUAUAAUAUUAAUAUAAAUCAAUUAUAGCUAGAAUCUAAAAUAGGUCAAAACAAUGCUUAAGGUAGGAGUACUAACCGUAAAUAUUAAGUAGAGUGUUAAAGGCGAAGGCAUUUGUCCAAUAAAGAUUGACGCUGAGAAACGAAAGUGAGGGCAGAAAAAAGGAUUAGAGACCCUUGUAUUCCUCACUGUCAACGAUGAAUGGUAGUUACUAGCAAGAAAAUUUACUAGAGGCGAUGUUAACACGAAAACCAUUCCGCCUUGUGAGUACAACUGCAAAGUUGAAAACAAAAAAAUUAGUCGGUUUCGGAGCAAACGAAGUGAAGCAUGUUAUUUAAUUCAUAAAUCCCGCA